UUUUGUUCGGCGGUGAGUAGUGGAGUUUCACUGAUCUGUGGAAGUGGGGAAUACUUGACAAUUUUUAUAAUUUUAGCCGCAAGAAAUUAGAAGCUUUUUCAGUCUUAACUCUGGAUUAUGAACAUGUUUUAUAUGGUACUGGCUUUCCCCCAAAAUCCCUGUUGAGAAUCUGUGGGAAGUCUUCUCCAGGGACACUUGACUUCUACAGUCAGAGGUCAGGGAUACCUAUCAAGUCGCUUCAUAAGAGGCAGGUAAAGAAUGAAGCGUAUCUUGAACAGUACCUUGUUCUUCCACAGGAAGGAAAAGUCUAAGCUACAAGGCAAAAACACAAUCAAUAAGAAGAGCUCCAUGAGCAACCAGUAGCUGAAAAAGUCUUGAGAAUUUUCUAUUUAUUGUUAAGGAAAUAGCCAAUGGAAAUGAUAAAGGUGUUGUCAUCCUCAGAAUAAAGA